rnacentral:rRNA from 1 species
CCUACGGGUGGCAGCAGUGGGGAAUAUUGGGCAAUGGGCGCAAGCCUGACCCAGCAACGCCGCGUGAAGGAAGAAGGCUUUCGGGUUGUAAACUUCUUUUCUCAGGGACGAAGCAAGUGACGGUACCUGAGGAAUAAGCCACGGCUAACUACGUGCCAGCAGCCGCGGUAAUACGUAGGUGGCAAGCGUUAUCCGGAUUUACUGGGUGUAAAGGGCGUGUAGGCGGGACGGCAAGUCAGAUGUGAAAACCACGGGCUCAACCGGUGGCCUGCAUUUGAAACUGUAGUUCUUGAGUACUGGAGAGGCAGACGGAAUUCCUAGUGUAGCGGUGAAAUGCGUAGAUAUGUGGAAGAACACCGAUGGCGAAGGCAGCCUCCUGGGACGCAACUGACGCUCAUACACGAAAGCGUGGGGAGCAAACAGGAUUAGAUACCCCAGUAGUC